GCUGAAAGAUGGGCUCGCGUCCAAUUAGCUAGAUGGUGAGGUAACGGCUCACCAUGGCGACGAUUGGUAGCCGGACUGAGAGGUUGAACGGCCACAUUGGGACUGAGACACGGCCCAGACUCCUACGGGAGGCAGCAGUGGGGAAUAUUGCACAAUGGAGGAAACUCUGAUGCAGCGACGCCGCGUGAAGGAAGAAGGUCUUCGGAUUGUAAACUUCUGUUGUCAGGGACGAUAAUGACGGUACCUGACGAGAAAGCCACGGCUAACUAC
rnacentral:rRNA from 1 species